UACGGGGGGGGCAAGCGUUGUUCGGAAUUACUGGGCGUAAAGGGCUCGUAGGCGGCCAACUAAGUCAGACGUGAAAUCCCUCGGCUUAACCGGGGAACUGCAUCUGAUACUGGAUGGCUUGAGUUCGGGAGAGGGAUGCGGAAUUCCAGGUGUAGCGGUGAAAUGCGUAGAUAUCUGGAGGAACACCGGUGGCGAAGGCGGCAUCCUGGACCGACACUGACGCUGAGGAGCGAAAGCGUGGGUAGCAAACAGG
rnacentral:rRNA from 1 species